UGAAUUUUCAUGGUGUUGGAACAUGUGUCCCUAGAGAACAGGGAGAGUGGGGAAGUUUCCUCCACCAAUGUGCCUGAAACCUGACCUGCAGGGACCAUCCUCAAGGUGGGAGGGGAGUUCUGGCUCCAUAACUCUUUCAGUUCUUGACACG
rnacentral:sRNA from 1 species